rnacentral:rRNA from 1 species
CACGUAGGGUGCGAGCGUUGUCCGGAAUUAUUGGGCGUAAAGAGCUCGUAGGCGGUGUGUCGCGUCGGCCGUGAAAACCUGCAGCUUAACUGUGGGCUUGCGGUCGAUACGGGCAUCACUGGAGUUCGGCAGGGGAGACUGGAAUUCCAGGUGUAGCGGUGAAAUGCGUAGAUAUCUGGAGGAACACCGGUGGCGAAGGCGACGUCCUGGACCGGCAUUGACGCUGAGACGCGAAAGCCAGGGGAGCAAACGGG